UACGUAGGGGGCAAGCGUUGUCCGGAUUUAUUGGGCGUAAAGAGCGUGUAGGCGGCCAGGUAGGUCCGUUGUGAAAACUCGAGGCUCAACCUCGAGACGCCGAUGGAAACCAUCUGGCUAGAGUCCGGAAGAGGAGAGUGGAAUUCCCGGUGUAGGCGGUAGAAUGCGCAGAUAUCGGGAAGAACACCCGUGGCUAAGGCGGCUCUCUAGUACGGUACUGACGCUGAGACGCGAAAGCGUGGGGAGCGAACAGG
rnacentral:rRNA from 1 species